CAACAGGGAUUACCUCAGUAACGGCGAGUGAAGCGGUAAAUGCUCAAAUUUGAAAGCUGCCAACAGGCCGCGUUGUAAUUUGUAGAAGAUGCUUUGGGUGUCGGCCCAGUCUAAGUUCCUUGGAACAGGACGUCAUAGAGGGUGAGAAUCCCGUAUGUGAUUGGUGCCGUCCUCCGUGUAAAGCUCUUUCGACGAGUCGAGUUGUUUGGGAAUGCAGCUCAAAAUGGGUGGUAAAUUUCAUCUAAAGCUAAAUAUUGGCCAGAGACCGAUAGCGCACAAGUAGAGUGAUCGAAAGAUGAAAAGCACUUUGGAAAGGGAGUUAAACAGUACGUGAAAUUGUUGAAAGGGAAGCGCUUGCAAUCAGACUUGCAGACGGUUGAUCAAUCGAGGUUCUCCCCGGUGCACUCGAUCGUCUUCAGGCCAGCAUCGGUUUCAGUGGCGGGAUAAAGGCUGUGAGAAUGUGGCUCUUCGGAGUGUUAUAGCUCACGGUGCAAUGCCGCCUACUGGGACCGAGGACCGCGCUUCGGCUAGGAUGCUGGCGUAAUGGUUGUAAGCGACCCGUCUUGAAACACGGACCAAGGAGUCUAACAUCUAUGCGAGUGUUUGGGUGUUAAACCCAUACGCGUAAUGAAAGUGAACGGAGGUGAGAACCCUUUAGGGCGCAUCAUCGACCGAUCCUGAUGUCUUCGGAUGGAUUUGAGUAAGAGCAUAGCUGUUGGGACCCGAAAGAUGGUGAACUAUGCGUGAAUAGGGUGAAGCCAGAGGAAACUCUGGUGGAGGCUCGCAGCGGUUCUGACGUGCAAAUCGAUCGUCAAAUUUGCGUAUAGGGGCGAAAGACUAAUCGAACCAUUGGAACACUACUAGGUGGUUAAGAGGCGAGUGAUCUAGUCCGCUGAAUGGCGGGCAACACUCU
rnacentral:rRNA from 1 species